AGGAAAACAAUCAUCUCUUACACAACACUUUUGACAUUGCUUCUUAUGCCGUCUUCUGCUUCUGAGGACAAAAUUCACAUGGACACAUAAUAAAAACACAAACAUGUACCUACUGCAUUCCAUCUACCAUUUUAAGAACAAACAAAUGUAGUCACAUGGAUUCACUGUUUAUGUUUCCAGGCAUCCUUCUUUAUUGCUAAGGAAGGAAGUUGAGGAUUGGUGGAGAAAAGGCGAGUGAUGCUGUGACCAAUGUGAAACAGCACUGCGUCCACAAGACACAAGUACAGUGUGCACCAAACCUGCACUGUUGCAUUCUCUGCAUAGAUUAGGUGCCUAUUUCCAGCAGUCAUUGGGCAAGAGGCAGAGCGCACACCAGACAAAUUGCCAGUCCAUUACAGAGAAACACAGAGACAUAGAGGAUCAUGGGAAGACGUCACGUGUGACAGUCAUGUUUUUGGACCAUGGGAGGAAGUUGGAGUACCAGAAGACAACCCAUACAUGCAGGAAGAGAAUGUCCAAAACGUCAGAUCAGCAUUUGAACCCAGUACCCUCUGGCUGCAAGGCAACAGUACUACCAAAAACCAGCUGCAUACAUCUUCA